GAAACAUUAUGUACAAAAUAAGUUACAAAUAACGCAAAAAAAACACAUAAUAGCACAAUUGGUUGGACUAUCAUGUAAGUAUCAUUUAAUUGCCCAGUUGCAUGUAAAUACACUGCCUGCCCUCCAGGACACCUACAGUACCCGAUGUCACAGGAAUGUCAAAAAGAUCAUCAAGGACAUCAACCAGCUGAGCCAUGGCCUGUUCACAGCGUUAUCAUCCAGAAGGCGAGGUGACUACCUCAUGAAGCUGGUUGAGAGAAUGCCAAGAGUGUGCAAAGCUGUCAUCAAGGCAAAGGACGGCUACUUUGAAGAAUCUAAAAUAUAUUUUGAUUUGUU
ensembl:lncRNA